UACGUAGGGUACGAGCGUUGUCCGGAAUUAUUGGGCGUAAAGAGCUCGUAGGACGGUGUGUCACGUCGUUCGUGAAAACCUGCAGCUUAACUGUCGGGCGUGCGGUCGAUACGGGCAUCACUGGAGUUCGGCAGGGAGACUGGAAUUCCUGGUGUGAGCGGUGAAAUGCGCAGAUAUCAGGAGGAACACCGGUGGCGAAGGCGGGUCUCUGGGCCGAUACUGACGCUGAGGAGCGAAAGCCGUGGGGAGCAAACAGG
rnacentral:rRNA from 1 species